CGAACGGGUGAGUAACGCGUGAGGAACCUGCCUCAAAGAGGGGGACAACAGUUGGAAACGACUGCUAAUACCGCAUAAGCCCACAGGUCGGCAUCGACCAGGGGGAAAAGGAGCAAUCCGCUUUGAGAUGGCCUCGCGUCCGAUUAGCUAGUUGGUGAGGUAAUGGCCCACCAAGGCGACGAUCGGUAGCCGGACUGAGAGGUUGAACGGCCACAUUGGGACUGAGACACGGCCCAG
rnacentral:rRNA from 1 species